AAAGCAGAUCUAUCUUAUCGCUUUUUUAUAGAACUAGUAUUAAUAUUUUUAUUUCGUUAUAAGAACUUUAAUCAAGUUUUAAAGAAAGAGGAAAGUCCGGACACCAAAGAGUAGCAUAGCGGAUAACAUCCGUCCGAUGUAAAUCGAGGACAAGUGCAACAGAAAGCAAGUACAGUUCGGCUGUAGUGAAACCAGGUAAACUCUAUGCGGUGCAAUGUCAUGUACAUUAGAGUUUGAGGGUAACUCGCCCCGAUUCUAAGGGGUAGGCAGAUGGAUUCUAAGAGUAAUUUUAGAACUAGAUAAAUGAUAAGACCCUUUUUAAGGGAACAGAAUCCGGCUUAUUGGUCUGCUUUUUUA
rnacentral:RNase_P_RNA from 1 species